rnacentral:rRNA from 1 species
UACGUAGGGUGCAAGCGUUGUCCGGAAUUAUUGGGCGUAAAGAGCUCGUAGGCGGUUUGUCGCGUCUGCCGUGAAAGUCCGGGCUCAACUCCGGAUCUGCGGUGGGUACGGGCAGACUAGAGUGAUGUAGGGGAGACUGGAAUUCCUGGUGUAGCGGUGAAAUGCGCAGAUAUCAGGAGGAACACCGAUGGCGAAGGCAGGUCUCUGGGCAUUAACUGACGCUGAGGAGCGAAAGCAUGGGGAGCGAACAGG